rnacentral:rRNA from 1 species
CCUACGGGGUGCAGCAGUGAGGAAUAUUGGUCAAUGGACGCGAGUCUGAACCAGCCAAGUCGCGUGAAGGAUGACUGCCCUAUGGGUUGUAAACUUCUUUUAUAUGGGAAUAAAAUGCUCCACGUGUGGCAUUUUGUAUGUACCAUAUGAAUAAGGAUCGGCUAACUCCGUGCCAGCAGCCGCGGGAAUACGGAGGAUUCGAGCGUUAUCCGGAUUUAUUGGGUUUAAAGGGAGCGUAGGUGGUUUGUUAAGUCAGUUGUGAAAGUUUGCGGCUCAACCCUACAAUUGCAGUUGAAACUGGCAGUCUUGAGUGGAGUAGAGGUAUGCGGAAUGCGUGGUGUAGCGGUGAAAUGCUUAGAUAUCACGAAGAACUCCGAUUGCGAAGGCAGCUCACUGGACUGCAACUGACGCUGAGGCUCGAAAGUGUGGGUAUCAAACAGGAUUAGAUACCCUUGUAGUC